rnacentral:tRNA from 2 species
UCCUUUGUAGUGUAAUGGCUAUCACGGUUCGCUUUCAGUUAAUUUCCUUACUGGUUUAAUUGCAAGUUCCGAGCAGAUCGGGGUUCGAUUCCCCGCAAGGGAG